rnacentral:rRNA from 1 species
UACAGAGGGGGCAAGCGUUGUUCGGAAUUACUGGGCGUAAAGGGCGCGUAGGCGGCCUGUUAAGUCGGACGUGAAAUCCCUCGGCUCAACCGGGGAACUGCGUCCGAUACUGGCGGGCUUGAAUUCGGGAGAGGGAUGUGGAAUUCCAGGUGUAGCGGUGAAAUGCGUAGAUAUCGGGAGGAACACCAGUGGCGAAGGCGAGUCUCUGGGCUGAUACUGACGCUGAGGCGCGAAAGCCAGGGGAGCAAACAGG